rnacentral:rRNA from 1 species
UACGUAGGGUGCGAGCGUUGUCCGGAAUUAUUUGGCGUAAAGAGCUUGUAGGCGGUUUGUCGCGUCUGCUGUGAAAAUCCGGGGCUCAACCCCGGACUUGCAGUGGGUACGGGCAGACUAGAGUGUGGUAGGGGAGACUGGAAUUCCUGGUGUAGCGGUGAAAUGCGCAGAUAUCAGGAGGAACACCGAUGGCGAAGGCAGGUCUCUGGGCCACUACUGACGCUGAGACGCGAAAGCGUGGGUAGCAAACAGG